GACGAACGCUGGCGGCGUGCCUAAUACAUGCAAGUAGAACGCUGAAGGAGGAGCUUGCUUCUCUGGAUGAGUUUCGAACGGGUGAGUAACGCGUAGGUAACCUGCCUGGUAGCGGGGGAUAACUAUUGGAAACGAUAGCUAAUACCGCAUAAUAGUAGAUGUUGCAUGACAUUUGCUUAAAAGGUGCAAUUGCAUCACUACCAGAUGGACCUGCGUUGUAUUAGCUAGUUGGUGGGGUAACGGCUCACCAAGGCGACGAUACAUAGCCGACCUGAGAGGGUGAUCGGCCACACUGGGACGGGGACACGGCCCAGACUCCUACGGGAGGCAGCAGUAGGGAAUCUUCGGCAAUGGACGGAAGUCUGACCGAGCAACGCCGCGUGAGUGAAGAAGGUUUUCGGAUCGUAAAGCUCUGUUGUAAGAGAAGAACGAGUGUGAGAGUGGAAAGUUCACACUGUGACGGUAUCUUACCAGAAAGGGACGGCUAACUACGUG
rnacentral:rRNA from 1 species